UCUCCGUGGGUUGACUUCAUAACACACAAAUCUUUCGCCUUUUACGAAAGAUUCCGUUUAGAGGACCAAUAAAAUUGGAAUUUAAUGAUUUAUUUCGGCUUUGUCCUUGGACGAGGC